UACGAAGGGAGCGAGCGUUGUUCGGAAUCACUGGGCUUAAAGCGUGCGUAGGCGGAUUUUCAAGUCAGAAGUGAAAUCCCGGGGCUUAACCCCGGAACUGCUUUUGAGACUGUAAGUCUGGAAUUCGGUAGAGGUUAGUGGAAUGUCUAGUGUAGAGGUGAAAUUCGCAGAUAUUAGACGGAACACCAGUGGCGAAGGCGACUAACUGGACCGACAUUGACGCUGAGGCACGAAAGCGUGGGUAGCAAACAGG
rnacentral:rRNA from 1 species